GUCGAAAAAAGUACCAUGUCGACUACAUAACUACGGGAGAAUUCAGGGUUACCUGAUCCAGCACCAAUUAUAAGCUUCCCCCCCCCCUUUUAUGCCUAAAGCUUUGCCAAUAGAGGGUCUUCUACAGAUCACAUGUUGACACGAGGUAUUUAUUUGGUUGAUUCUCAACUCUUCCAAAUCAACUAAAAUGGUAUAAAAAAAUAAAUAAAUAAAUAAGAAAAACCUUAGAUGCACAUUUCCUUCUUGACACUAAAUCAGAAGACAACUGUUCCCAUCAAGAAUUGACCACUAUGAAUCUAAAACUUUCCAAGCUUUGAGAAGUCAAAGUCUUUGAAUCCAUCCCAACUUAAUCUUUGAAUUCACCUCCUACCAAAUUUGUUGCUCUUGAGACCCAUGACCUGAAAGUCACCUGUGAUCCCAGGUUUGGACAGUACUUAGUACAGGUCCUCAGGACCUUACUUCAUGCCCCUCUCCUACACAUUUCUGUGAUGUCGUCACAUCCUUCAUGUUUUUCCAAUGCUGCCAUGCUGACAAGAGUCAAAACAGAGCGCCACCAGCAUUCCACUUCCCUCUCGUCCCAUGAGCUCCAUUUUGAACAGGAUUUCUCACUACCGCCUUAAGUUCAACCUUCACAAGACUGCAGCGCUCUACUUCAAGUUGUAUCCCUCUUGUACUUCCCUCUGUGGAGUUGUAUUGUUUCAUUUAUGAAUGUUUGGGUGCUACAUAAUGCAGUAUGUACUGUGGGAAAACAGAUUCUUGGUGUUUAUUUAAAUGACAGCUAUACCCGUAAGAACUGCCAAAGCCGUGUAUGUUUUGGCAGUGUGCAUACUUGUGCUGAUGUAACUGUUGUGUGUUUGUAUAAAUAUGUUAGUGUGUGGGAAGACUGGGGAGCGUUUUGUAUGGUUUUAGUUACAUUCCUCUCUGCUCUGAGUUUUAUUAACAAUUUCUAAAGGAAUCAAUAUUUGUCUCUCAGCCCGUCACAAUCUCUUUAUUUUGUUGAAAGCUACGAAAAAGAGAUUACUGACUCAACUUAAAUUUUAGCCUAAACCCACUUAAACUCGCUAUAUCCGCACUGACACCACAGAAACAAUCUCCACUGUAACCAUAAUUGACCUGAGCCACAUACAUUUCCCAUAACAAUUUAUGCACAUUUAUUUCAUAUUCAAUUCUUCGGCUUUCUGUACUUCAAAUGAAACCCACUCAGUCAUGUCGGAGUAUUCUGAUCCCUUUACUUGUGCAGUUUAUAAAAUACCCGGUGUUUUCUUUUAGACUUGUUUGGAGUUCUGCCCAGUUAUUUCAGAUUUUGACUUUUCAGGUCAGAGAAUCUUUUUCUUCGACUUCUCAGAGUUCUUUAAAUGCAGUUUGACCAACUCCAACAAGGCUGUCUUGUGCCUUUUACUCAGUUGGUCUCCAUCUACCUACUCUAGCACAGAGGUCUACAUUGAGGGUUGCUGAAUGGGCUGUCCUUUUAGCAGGCUUUCCCAUUUCGCCAAAGGAUUUCUAAACUAGCUGUUGUGGCUGCUGGGUUUUGGUCACCCCUUUGACCAAGGACUGACUGACUCGGUAACUCAGUUUGAAACCACCAGGUGAUAUUAGGAGUACUGCUAGGUUCACAAUUACAGAGGUCACCGUGCUCUAAGCAACACUUAAAAAUUUAUAAAUGGUUUUAUACUGUUGCCUUGAUCCGUGUCUGGUUGGGCAUCUGCAGAGAGUUAGACUUAAUGGCUUGUCGUGACACGUACUGUGAAUUGUGACUCUCUUAUUACAGAGAUGUUUUUAUGGCAGCCCCUCGUCUGCAAUACAACUCCGCCAUUUUUGGUGAGCACAUAAAAACCCCUCGAACCAUUUGCAGAAGCUAAAGCCUCUUGAUGGCUUUAGUAGAGGGAUUGUCACAUAACAUCUCCCCAAUCGAGGCUUCACUCCAAUGGAUUCCGGUACAUUUUCAUAAUAGAUUGUUUUUAUUUUAUUGACUGCUCUUAAAGCAAGUCUGGUUCUGGCCUCAAAGUACAUUUGACCUGAAUUUGCAGUCCUAGAUACCUUUCGUUGUUCCAAAAGUCAACACGUAAUUCUAAAGGUUACCGUGAUUGCGGCAGGCCCUCUAGGUCGUGACCUGCCUGAGGACACAUGGUUUGCAAAAUCCAUAAUAAUCUCCUCACUUCUUAAAAACAUAUUUAUAAACUUGCAUUUAUGUGAUGUCGUUAGGUGAUGUCUUUCACAGUCCAUUACUGGCUACCACCUUGUUUUAUUUAGUCAUUUGUGUUUCCUUUGACUUUAAUCUUCCACUUGUAUUUAUCAUUCAUUCUCAUCAUCUGUUAUGCAUUUUGCAUCUUUAUUCUUGCAAUUUUAAUUUUAGCAAAGCUUUAACUUAAUUAUAUCCAUUUCCUCUGGCUCUAAUGUUUGGCCGUCUGAUUUUACCUUCUGAGUAUUAUAUGGCUUGUUUGCCAAAGCACUUUGUAAACUCUGUUUUUAAAGAGGGGCUAUAUGGCUUACAUAAAGCAAUAAAUGUGCAUAAAGUGGUUUUGAAUUUUGGUCUGGAGUAAUUGCAUACUGAGGAAAAGUUUCUCCUGUCACAGUGCUGCUUUGCCUAGAAACUCUGCAAGCAACAGAUGACAUAAAAUUACAGUCCAACACUAAAAAUACUGUAGUUCUCAUGUUUGAACAUUUACAGUUUUACUGCUGCAUGCAAGCUCCGUUUUUAGGUUUUAUAUUAAAGCAUGAGCAAUAUACAGAACAAUAUAUCAGGUCUGCAGCUACAGUGCACACCAGAACAGAAACUACAGGACAAUAAGCAUUUGCAUAAAGUUAAGCAGUAAUACAUUUUGGAAAUUUAUGCACAUUCUAAAGACUCAUCGUGAUCAUCUUGGUUUAACAUCGCCUUCCAUUAACUGCAAACACCUUAAUUACAUUCACAUGAAAAUAUGCACACACUGAGAGAAAAUUAAUGCAACUAACCACAGGCAUGCCGAUAAUUAUAUGAACAGUGCUGACGAUGAUUUAUAGUGCUGUUCUCACAUGCCUUAACUAUCUGUGACACUAUCCGUAUUACACUGUUGCAUCUGCAUGAGGCAUGCGUUAAUAUAAGUGAUAAAAUAAUCUACUUAAAUGCUUGAAUACUGCCCUUUAUUUCAGACUUUUAGUCAGAAAAGGCUGAACAAGUUUCAGAAAGAUUAAACUACUUAAAGCCAUCAUGCAAAACAUGUACAAUUUCCACUAACUUCAAAGUCAUUUCCAUAAUCUGGACUGCCUGAACCAUUUCCAGUACAGUAGUGUUUGCCUGUUAGGACUGUUGCGUGAUCAGUUUGUCAACCCUCCAUUGUAAACAUGCAAACUGAUGGCCCAGGACCAACUCUCAGCAUAACACUUCCCUACUGCGUCCCUCUGACUGUGUCAGAAUUGAUUCUCGCUGACGAGAGCCCAUUUAAAACUAUUUCAUCAAGCAAUAUGGUGGCUAAUUUGUGUGGUGCGCAUGAAUAAUAUAUGCGAAAGAAUCCAUCUAGGAUCCUUCAAAACAUCUGCCGUUUAUGGGUGGAAAUGAGGAGAAGAGGGUGGGGCUGUCAGCAGAAGAUGUAGAGAGAUGGGGCGCUACAAUCCAAUACGAGGGCAGAGCUGUGCAGCAAUCUGACAACUUCGGGGAAACAAUUUCAUCUUGCCAGACAUCCCAUCGGCGGUUGUGUCGAAAAACCUACGGGGGAGGGCCCUUCUGCUUCUGCUCCGUUUCGGGCGAUAUCAAAAGCUAUGCUUCAACUUCAGAGUAAUCACUUGGAAAAUGGAACAAUAUGCAAGAAUAGUGAGCCAUUCUCCUUCACUCUAUUUAGUAAUUUGGAAGAAAAUUGCUGGGGUUUCUGCCUGCCUCUGUUGGCCAUGCUCAUGGAACCUCCAUGUCUGCCUACAUGAGGCCUCAUUUAAGUCAUGGCAUACUUGCGUUUAAGGACACAGUUGAGGAGAAUAACAACAACUCCCGAUGUGCCUCGCCGCAGUGUGCAAGUGAGCACAGUGUUUCGCGCGCUGCCAGUGUGUAAAUCAGCACUUUGAGUCGUUAUUGUGCUAAUUUCUCACACCUGCCCCUGGGAAGCUUUUUGAUUAGCAGCUUCACAGCUGUUGCUCCACUUGCAGCGAUUUAUCUCCAUAAAUGAUUGCUGAUAAAUUCUCCUGAGACUGAUGCUGAGUGCCUCUGAGAUAUAAAUGCGAGACUUAAAGAGCCAGGCUGUGAGUUGAUAUGGUGGGGUGAUAUUUGUUCAUAUUGUGCUCAUUAGUGAUGGUAGGCAAAGUUUGAUGGCAGGUCCUGCUUUUGAAGACAUUUUGGAAUAAAUAGGCUGUGACAUUUAAAAUGUGGCAUUUACCGGACCAGGUUUUAGAGUGGAUCUCUCUAUCAAACAUCCGAUUCCAUCCUAAAAGGUACAGGAUUGGGAAAUCGGAUAAGUGGUCAAACGUGCCCUGGAAUGCAUUUAUGGGCAGUGACUGGAACAAUUUACAAAACCUCCCCCCAAAAAAGUAGCACCUACUAUCUGGUACGAUCCAGUUAUUUUAAAAUAAAGUUUAAAGGAAUUGGUUUGAUUUCUUGUUCCUUCUUUUUUUUUAAAUAUAUAUUCUUCACACCAAAUAAAAUAAAAAGAAGAAAAUAAUCCUAUUUAAAAGUCAUCUCUCGUAACUUUUGCCAGCACAACAUAAAACCCCAUUAUUUCCAAAAGGCUAUUAAGGGUGGAAAGGGACACAGUUGUUUAUGCUAUUAAGGCUGCUGGUGUAGUUUGUCUUCCAGCUUACAACCCCAAUUUCAAAAAAAAGUUUUGAAAUGUAAAUAAAACACAAAUGCAAUGUUUAAACUGAGAAAAUAUACUAUUUUCAGAAAAAUAAAUAAAUAAAUAAGGCCAUUUUGGAUUUAACAGCAGCAACACAUCCCAAAAAAGCUGGGACAGGGCCAUGUUUACCAGUGUGUAACACCCACUUUUCUUUCAACAACAGUCUGGGAACUGAGGACACCAGCUGUUGGACUUUUAGCAGAGGAAUAUUGUCCCAUUCUUGUCUGUCUGAUUAUUCUUGCUCUAGCAGCUCAACAGUCCUUGGCCUUAUUUGCCAUGUUGCUCAUUUCAUAAUGUGCCAAAUGUUUUCAGAUGGUGAAAGGUCUGGAUCACAGCCAGGCCAUAUUAGCAUCUGGACUCUUCUACUACGAAGCCAUGCUGUUAUCAUAGCUUUAGUGUGCAGUCAAGCAUGUUCUUGGUGAAAUAUGCAGGACCUUCCCUACAAACUUGAUGGGAGCAUAUGUUGCUCUAAAACCUGUAUACACCUUUAAGCACGGAUGGUGUCGAGCUGCCAAUUUCACAGGCACGAUGAACUGAGUGCUGAUAAAAAGCUGGACGCUCCCUCUGCUCUUCAGUGCAGAGGGCGAGGCAUGUUUACAAAAUAAAUUUGAAAUUUGGAUUUGUCCAGGUCCAUUUUAAAUGGUUUAGGGUCAGAGAAGAAGGCAGUGUUUCUGGAUUAUGUUCAUAUAUGGCUUCAUCUUUGGAUCAUUGAGAUUGAACUUGAGUGAUUUCUGGAAGUGUUUCUGAACCAAUGUGAUGACUUCCAUGACAAAAUCCCACCUGUUUUUAAAUGCAGUGUUGCCCAAAGACCUGAAGCUCAUGAGCAUCCAGCAUUUCCAUCCCUGUCCCUUGCACACAAACUUCUCCAGAUUCUUUAAAUCAUUUGGUGAGAUUACAUACUGAAGAAGAUGAGCUAUUCGAAGUUUUCACACUUUUACACUGAGGAACAUUAUUGUGAAAUUGGUCUACAUCUUUAUAGAUGCAGUUUUUUAGAGUUUGGUGUACAUCUUUACUUCUGUGAAACUCUAACAAGCUCUUUUGUUUAUGUCCAUUCGUGUUACCUGAAAUGGUGUUACUACCUAAAAUUAGCAAUUCAUUCCUUUAUGCUUUUAUUUACAUUUUUCCCAACUUCCCAACAUUUGGAAUAGGGACUGUAGACACUGCGCAUCCACCUCAAUGUAUCUGACCCUUUCCUCACGAAUGAAUCAUCUGCAUGUUCAACCAUGUCAGAGCCAUCUGACCUAAACACUGCAAUGCAAUAAUAAAAAUGUAAUAAUAUUGAUAUGUAUAAUAUCAAUAACACAUAAAUCUAUAUUAUUACACCAAGUAAAGUUUCUCAACUAGUACUAAACCCAAGUAUAGGAGAUGGAAGUGGAUGUAGGGAGAUCCAGUAUGGUGGCCCUGGGGAGGGUACGCAAAAGGCAGAAUGCAUCAAUAAACUGCUUAUUCUUUCUUUCAAUCUAGCAGCUUUUGGAACAGUUGAGAAGACACAGAUUAAUGCCCAAGAGUUCGCUAAUGUCAAAUCAAUUUUAAUUUAGAAGUAGCCUUAAGUCAUGUCUGUAGAAGCAGCCUGCAAGCUUAAAGAGAUACCCUCAAUAUGGCUUCAAAGCUUGUAAGAUGAUUUUAAGAACUGCCUGCAUUCUUCAGUAGAUAAGUACUCAGUGUACUAUGGUGACUAUGUACAAAGAAAUCAAACUAAGGUGACACUUUGCUCAGAGCUGGAUUGUAUGGGCUGAAAGAAUUUCCAUCAAUAACCACUUUUCCUCUGUUUGACUGUAGAUUUUACACAAAGCCUGAAAAGAGAUGGUACGAAUUGCAGAUGACCUUAUUGAGCCAUUAAGGUGAAAUAUUGAAAAACGUCCUGCAGUUAUGAUGUCCCACAGAUCUUUUCAUUUGCAUUGUAAGAUUAGCUAUUUGUCGGCUUUGCAAACAGGAGCCUUGAAACUUGAAAAGAAACCAUAACACAGGGUUUUAAAUCUGGGGAAUUUAAAAAAAAAUAAAUGUCUAUAUACAACAUCAGGAAGAAAACCAAAGCACUCACACUGCAAUGCAGGCAUGA